CCUACGGGAGGCAGCAGUGGGGAAUAUUGGACAAUGGGCGAAAGCCUGAUCCAGCCAUGCCGCGUGUGUGAAGAAGGCCUUCGGGUUGUAAAGCACUUUCAGUGGGGAAGAAAGCCUUGGGGCUAAUACCCUCGAGGAAGGACAUCACCCACAGAAGAAGCACCGGCUAACUCCGUGCCAGCAGCCGCGGUAAUACGGAGGGUGCGAGCGUUAAUCGGAAUUACUGGGCGUAAAGCGCGCGUAGGCGGUCUGAUAAGCCGGUUGUGAAAGCCCCGGGCUCAACCUGGGAACGGCAUCCGGAACUGUCAGGCUAGAGUGCAGGAGAGGAAGGUAGAAUUCCCGGUGUAGCGGUGAAAUGCGUAGAGAUCGGGAGGAAUACCAGUGGCGAAGGCGGCCUUCUGGACUGACACUGACGCUGAGGUGCGAAAGCGUGGGUAGCAAACAGGAUUAGAUACCCCGGUAAUC
rnacentral:rRNA from 1 species